GCAUGAACGGCAAAACCUCUUCCAACUGUCUCCCCUCCCAUCCUUUUAAAUUUCCUCCUGUGUGAAGAAGCACAGAUAUAUCAGAAAGACGAGAAGACCCUGUCGAGCUUUAACCACUAAGUGGGCCUUACCCUUUUCAGGCACCACCUAAAGGUUUUGGUUGGGGCAACCAUGGAGAAAAAAGAUCCUCCAGAACAAAUAGAAGAAAGCUUUUCACUAUUUUACGACUGAGAACCAGGAACUGGUAUUCGGAAAAAGUUACCGCAGGGAUAACAGCGUCAUCUCCUCUAAGAGUCCUUAUUGACGAGGAGGUUUGCGACCUCGAUGUUGGAUUGGGGCCCCCUUAGGGUGCAGAAGCUCUAAACGGUUAGACUGUUCGUCUAUUAAAGCCCUACAUGAUCUGA
rnacentral:rRNA from 1 species